rnacentral:rRNA from 1 species
CAGACGGGUGAGUAACAUGUGGGUAUCUACCCUUUGGCCUGGAAUAACACGAGGAAACUUGUGCUAAUACCAGAUAAGUCUUUACGGAGAAAGCUUUAUGCACCAUUGGAUGAGCCUGCACUUGAUUAGUUUGUUGGUGGGGUAAUGGCCUACCAAGACUGUGAUCAAUAGCUGAUUUGAGAGGAUGAUCAGCCACAUUGGGACUGAGACACGGCCCAAACUCCUACGGGAGGCAGCAGUGGGGAAUCUUGCACAAUGGAGGAAACUCUGAUGCAGCGAUGCCGCGUGAGUGAAGAAGGCCUUUGGGUUGUAAAGCUCUUUCGUCGGGGAAGAAAAUGACUGUACCCGAAUAAGAAGGUCCGGCUAACUUCGUGCCAGCAGCCGCGGUAAUACGAAGGGACCUAGCGUAGUUCGGAAUUACUGGGCUUAAAGAGUUCGUAGGUGGUUGAAAAAGUUGGUGGUGAAAUCCCAGAGCUUAACUCUGGAACUGCCAUCAAAACUUUUCAGCUAGAGUAUGAUAGAGGAAAGCAGAAUUUCUAGUGUAGAGGUGAAAUUCGUAGAUAUUAGAAAGAAUACCAAUUGCGAAGGCAGCUUUCUGGAUCAUUACUGACACUGAGGAACGAAAGCAUGGGUAGCGAAGAGGAUUAGAUACCCUCGUAGUCCAUGCCGUAAACGAUGUGUGUUAGACGUUGGAAAUUUAUUUUCAGUGUCGCAGCGAAAGCGAUAAACACACCGCCUGGGGAGUACG